UACGUAGGGUGCAAGCGUUAAUCGGAAUUACUGGGCGUAAAGCGUGCGCAGGCGGCUUUGCAAGACAGAUGUGAAAUCCCCGGGCUUAACCUGGGAACUGCAUUUGUGACUGCAAGGCUGGAGUGCGGCAGAGGGGGAUGGAAUUCCGCGUGUAGCAGUGAAAUGCGUAGAUAUCGGAAGGAACAUCAGUGGCGAAAGCGGCUUCCUGGACCAGUACCGACGUUCAGGCACGAAAGCGUGGGGAGCAAACAGG
rnacentral:rRNA from 1 species